CUGUGGGAUUGUGGACCCUCUGUCCCACAAGCCCCUCCCUGUUUUUUCUCUUCCCGAAGUUUUUCUCUCCUGAACUUUGACGCUGAUCGUCUCCGUGUGAAGCUCCGUGUUAAGAGUUGGGAUCACAUCUGAGGAGGCAGAGGAAUCCUUUCAGACCCCUGAGUUAGCCGGAGUAGCUCCAGCUGUGUCUGAGACUGAAGUCCACAAGAAGAUGAUGAUGGAGGAAGAGGAGGACAGAGCAGAGUCUGCAGGGUCCAGCUGUUCGUCUAUGACGAGUGACCGGUCCAAAGAUCCACCUCCAGGCUUCAGUGGUGAACCUGGAUCAACGAGAGGUCAGAGGUCACAGUCUGCAGGAUACAGCUGUCCGUCUGUGAGGAGUGACUAGUCCAAAGGUCAUCCUCCAGAGUUCAGUGGUGAACCUGGACCAACGAGCAUGUCUUUAUCCUGUUUUCCUUCUCUCACCCCAACCGGUCGCAGCAGAUGGCCCCGCC